GAUGAACGCUGGCGGCGUGCCUAAUACAUGCGAGUCGAGCGAACAGAUGAGGAGCUUGCUCCUUUGACGUUAGCGGCGGACGGGUGAGUAACACGUGGGUAACCUACCUAUAAGACUGGGAUAACUUCGGGAAACCGGAGCUAAUACCGGAUAACAUUUGGAACCGCAUGGUUCUAAAGUGAAAGAUGGUUUUGCUAUCACUUAUAGAUGGACCCGCGCCGUAUUAGCUAGUUGGUAAGGUAACGGCUUACCAAGGCGACGAUACGUAGCCGACCUGAGAGGGUGAUCGGCCACACUGGAACUGAGACACGGUCCAGACUCCUACGGGAGGCAGCAGUAGGGAAUCUUCCGCAAUGGGCGAAAGCCUGACGGAGCAACGCCGCGUGAGUGAUGAAGGGUUUCGGCUCGUAAAACUCUGUUAUUAGGGAAGAACAAAUGUGUAAGUAACUGUGCACGUCUUGACGGUACCUAAUCAGAAAGCCACGGCUAACUACGUG
rnacentral:rRNA from 1 species